rnacentral:lncRNA from 1 species
GGGGAAGAGGCCUUGGGAUCCAGGAAACUGGCGGGACCUGGAGCUGUGUCAAUGCCUGGAGGCAUGUCACAUAAUUCCCCGAACCUUAUCUCAGGUGUGUGUCCUGGGUUUGUUCACACAUGUGCACAGGAAGGGGCUCUAUGCUAGGGGUGUGGAAUCAUAAACACAAUGUGCACAUUCUCUGUGCCUGAACAGGAAACUGAAUAAAAGAAUGUGCAUAAGAAGCUUGGGAAGGACUUUGUGGUUGGUACGUGCAGUAAUGGAGAAGAAGGGCCCAGGGUGGACCAGUAUGCCUGGAUUUGAAUCCCAGCUCCAUGAGUUUCAGCGGCCUGUACUAGAGGAAAUUUAUUUCUGCUCUUCUUGCAGGAGAAGAUGUGGCAGAUUGAUGUGAAGUAUGUAGAAAUAUAGUCUGCUCAAGACCACAUCACACAUAGUCAGCUCCAGUCUCAUGCUUGCUUCUAAAAGGAAAGGCUCAAUUUACCUUCCCGGGCAGUAAGAAUCAUGGAAUUCGGUGGACCUUUCAGUGGAUGCUCUCACCUCCAAUUAUGUGGUAAUCACAUGUCAUUGUGGCCAGGCAGACCAUAAGCCCUUCUGACCUCACACCUGCUUUUUUCCAGAUUGCACAGAGGAAAGGGGAAACAAAAUGCACCAUUACUAGCAUUCUUAGGAUCAUGUUGGAAGCCACUGUUCCUUAUGCAGAAGAUAUAGAUCCUGAAAUGGAGUAAGAGACUGGGUUUGAAUGAGUACCUCUCUGGGAUUCAGUUUCUUCAUCUAUUAAAUGGAAUAAUAAUCUUACUUUAUAGACUUCACUUCUCGUGAAAAGUUGAUCAGGUAAGGGCUUUUAUACACUUCAAUGAGCCCUAACUUUGUAACAUGUAUUGUCUUGUCAGACCCUCUCUUCAGCCAAGUCAACUUCAGCCAGGAAGCCUAGAGAAGAGGGAGGAAGAGAGAAAGAGCAUCCACUUUAUUACAUGUCAUCUGAACCAACCUGGCUGUCAGGGGGUUAACAAUGUGCAGCUAGGUUACAGGUCCAUGAAGAACUUGCUCCUCCCACCCCCAACCCCUACUUUGCAGCUUCCCUUUGUUAUGGGAGCUUUGGCAAGGAGAGAGGCAGGGUAGAGGAACAGCAGCCACAUAGGGUUUCCCAGAAACUAAUAAAU